CCUGUUCCAGCGCCCCGAACUGCGGCACCGCGCCGCGCCGCCGCCCGCCGCCCCCUUCGGCCGCCCCGGCGUGGUCCCCCGGCGCCGGGCCGCCCCGCUCCGCGCCGUCGCCUUCCUCCAACCUGCACAGCUUCAGAGGCUCCAGGGUCCGCAGGGGGAACGGCAUCGCGGCCGGGGGCGGCGGGCCGGAGAGGAGAAGCUGGGCGUCCCCGACGCGAAAAGUCUUCGCCCGCCAAGCGGCCGCGGCGACAAAAGUUCAGAAAGAGGAGAGAGAGAGAGAAAGGAGAGGGAGAGAGAGAGGGAGGGAGCACAACAACAACAAAUGAAUCAGAGCGGGCGGGCGCCGCGCUACGCGCGCCGGGGCCGGGACUGGGGCUCGGGGGGAGCCGCCGCCGCCGCCCGCCGAGCGGAGGGGGGGCCCUGCGCGGCGCCCAUGUGCGGGAGCGGCACCGGAGGACGAGAGGGAGCGGAGCGGCCGCCGAUGCGGGGAGAGCCCGCUGCGCUGCCCUGCGGCCGGGAGACAGGAAAGAGCCCGGGUUUCUGUCCCCGGAGUGGAGAGGAGGAAGCGUGGGAGGGGGGCUGAGCGCUCUGGAUGAGGCCACAAAGGAGGGAAAGCGGUCAGGGAGAAAGGGAGGAGAGAAGGAGGAGGAGGAGGAGAGAGAAAAGCCCGGAGCAGCCCCACCUGGGGAACCCCGUGCCGCUGCAGGCACUUUUGUGAGCGCACCAAACUCCCAACCCGGAAAGCGAGAGCUGGAGCGAGAGGAGGAGAGAGGGGGGAAAGCCUCCGCGAACCUGGGAAGAGAAAAAGAGGCCGCCGCCUACCUGCGGCUCCCCGAACUGGAGCCUCUUCCAGAGCCUCACCCUUCCCGGCCAGCUCACGGCCGAGGUACUGGCCAGGCCCCGCCGCUGCCCCCGGCUCCAGGAACUCCCCGGGGCGGCCGCCGCCUGCCCCGCGCGGGGAGACGGGGAAAGAGCUACCGCCCCUCCGCUUCCCUGCCCGCCGCCGUUCGGGGAGAGAUGGGCUGGGAAGCGGGGCUGCCGGGCGAGCGGGGCUGUGGGUGGUGGUUACUUGUAAUGAGGCUGACCCCAAGGUGGGAAAAGUAA
rnacentral:lncRNA from 1 species